GUAGUCAUAGAGAAGUCUGGGAAAUUGUUACCACUGCUUUGGUGUAUCAAUCUGAGACCACAAGAAAAUGAAGAAACAGAAAGAAAUAAGGUCUCUUCUGGUACCUGAAGAGAUAACAGAGCAAUGGUAGCUGCAAAAGAUAAAUUACUCUCCAGAAGGUGGAGAUGGUUUGCAGAUGCCCUUGUCCUCGAAGAAGGCAAUGGAACAGGCUCUGGGAAGAAAUGAUUCCACUUUAAAGGCCAAAACUGGUGAAUAACACUUCAAACCUCUCACCCUAAGGAAGUGCAACUUUGGUUCCUAUCCAGCUUGCUGUAGAUUUGGAUGCCGAGCCCUGCCUGAAUGCUGAACUCCCGAGUACCUCUCCAGGGACUUAGCAUGGCUCUUGCAGAAGAUAAAGCCAGGCUGUGGGACAGUCUUGUGGCAGGACCUUUCUAGACACCAUGUGCUGCCUUGAAACCCCCACAUAUCUCCAACCUCCCAUGGGAACCUGUCCAUGUUAAACUGGGAGUAUGCCUGUGGCCUGCAAAAUGCCAGCAAAUGAUUAUGGUGACCUGAAGCUUGGUGGAGCUGAGAGCAACGCUAAGCCCUUAUGCUGCCCGUGUUAAGUCCCUCCCACAAGCACAAGGAGUGGUGCGUGAAACCCCAGCUGAACAGCCAGCACAGGGUCAUGGAUUACUUUUGAAAGGUGACAUUUCUCUAACCCGUGAAGCCAUUUCGUUACCCCACAUGUGGAGGAAGCUGCAGGCAGGACAGGAGAAGUGAACAGACAUGAAUAUACACAAAGGGCAAUGGAGUGGAUAGAAGGGAAGGAGACUGGUGUUCUUCAGCUUGGGAAGAGAGGACUGUCUACCAACAACGUCAGCAAAUGGAGCUGGGGAAGGCAGGACAGGUCAUUAUUUCUAGAAUGCUGGGUUUUGAUAUCAUAGAUAGUGCUAGAGCAUAAAGGCUGUUAGUCUGUAAAGAUGUAUUUUCAUUUAAGCAAAAUCUAAAAGCAGCAGAAAGUGUUCUCUCUGGGGCUUGGCAACUGCUGAAGCCUCAUCCAAUCUCACUACAGGCUAAAACUUCUGGAGCUGUUUGUGAAGGCUCAAGUGAGCACCUCCUUCUGCAGCAGCUUCCCUGGCAUCUUCCUCUUUGGGAAGUGUAGCCUUCCUAACUCCUCCUCCAGCCAUGUCCUCCAAAUCUCCUUCCCAUCUCUACUGGUUCUCAUGAAGAAAAGACAAGUUGUUCCCUAAAGACAAGUUCUCCCCUCAAGAGACUUCUUCCCAAUUCCAGACUUCCACUUUGGAUCACUAAAACCUUGGCCUAUGAUAAGUAGGAGCAGGAGUCCUUCAAAUAACUAUCACAGAACUUACAUAACCCAAAAGCAAUUUUCAUGGGAUCCUAUCGAAGAACAGCCACAACCGAUGAUGUGAGCUCAGUUUCCUGAGCACACAGCUGGUGGUUUUCUGAAAAGGUGACUGUUCAAUCCCAAGCUUACUGCCAUAGCAGGGCUGGGGCUGAGUCUGAGCUGUAAGAAAAAGAACUGUAUAAGCUGGCAGAGGAUGCUGCAGGGUUUUUUGGGUAAAUCUGAAAUCUCCUUGUUACCACAAGAGGACUGCAUACUCCUCUGAACACCUGCUCAUCAAAAUACGAAGAUAUUUCAAAUGCCUCCACGAAGAGAAAUUAAGUAACUUUAUAUACUCCUAAUCAGUACUUGCUUUCAUGAUAGUGCUAAACAAAAAAGGUGUGAGGUUUCCAAAUGACAACACCGCAGUGGUAACUUGGCUGUAAGUACAGCCCUACAAUAGCGUGCGUAGCACAACAGUGACCUGCUCAAGGUAUAAUAUUGACAUGUAUUUCACAAAACCCCAUGAUUUGAGAAUCUGCCUCCCAGGCUGUGCAAGCCUUAACAUAACCCUUGAAAAGUCUCAGAGGAAAGAGGCUUCAGAGCAUUUUUAAGCCAUUAGACAUAAAAGUGGGGAAAAAACCCCAAAACCACCAAUUGUGCAAAUCAACAAAGUAACAGUCAUCACCUAAGCUUUCCAUUUGGAGUUGAAACCAUUUGGAUUUUUAUCUGACAUGCAUGUGCAAGACAAAUAACACUAUGCAUGUAUGCUGCCCCUUCAGGGAAUUAUUAAAUCUCGAAGCACCUCACCAUGUUCAUGGUCAGUCCUGCAGAAAUGGUAUUACAAACUGUCAAGCAAAGAGAUGUGUCAGCCACCUUCAUGAGAAACGAGACUGAGAAGCAGUGCACAAUGUGGAUUUGGUUAUUCAGUUAAUCUGGCUGCAAUUCACCAACUUUCUGCCCCUGAAUAAGAAGCAUAUAACUAUUUUUAGGUCAAGCAUUAACAAUUGGGGCUACCUUAUAUUAGGAUGGGAAGACAACAGAUCAGUUUUUAAGCAGAGAAAAUAAGAAACUCAUGUUUCAGUCACAUUGUGACUCAAAGCCAAGAGAAGCCAAAAAAUUCAAAGAUAUUGGCUAACUCCCACAGAACUGCUUGCAAAGCCAACUUUUAUCCCCAAGUGAAUUUCUUCAGCAAGUUAUAAGUCCCUAAACAUGGCUUUUAAAUGUUUCUUGCUGACACAACCUUAAUCACAACGCUGCAAAAGCUGUAUGUACAUAAUAAUAAUAAUAAUAAUUUUAAACUAAAUGUUUCCAGUGUUCAGAACUUUUCAGAACUCCAACAGAUACCAGCAUCUGAAAUAAAAUAUUUAGGGAAGAACAAUUUAACUUGGCUAUGGUGACUAAAGGUAGUAUAUGCAGCAAUGGUUCUGUAUAAAUAUUGAAUAAAAAUCCCCCAAAGGUCAAAAUACACAGCCUAAGGGUUAAGUUCUGAUGAGAUGAAAACAAAUACAGAUGAAAACAGUUAAAUUUUAGUGCUCAGAGCAAGGAUUGUGUACCAUGACUCUGGAGGUCUUUGUCUCACAGGUCUGUUCUUAGUGCUGGUAAUUAUUAAAAAUUCUCUGAAACUCCUGCUUGAAGGGUCCUAGGUGAAAGCAUUACUGGGGUAGACUGGUAUUUUAAAAAGCUUAAGAGAUUUUUCCCAAACAAGGAGAUUGUCAGGCCAGGAUUUUCUCCUUAUCUGAAUAUGACUGAAAAGCCUGCCCUCCAUUACCUCAAUACCCUCCCAUUCUGGGAUUUGCAUCCAGGAGAGACUUCGCACCCCAGAGCUGACGAAUUUCUGAGCACUCUCAGAGCCCUGGGGCUUCACUGGAGUCUUGCUUCCCAAAUACUUCUGAAAAUGAAGCUUCUUUUUAAUUGUCCUACAGCAUUUCUCAUGCCAAAAACAUCUGGGAAAGGCGAGAGCUGACAAAAACGCACCAACUUUUUUUUUUUUUUUCACUCUCUUGCACAUUGUUUGAAAGAGGUUUAAAGCUAAAACAAACUCCUCUGAAGCAACGUGCAGUUCAGAGACAAUGGCAGCAGCUGCAGAUAGCAGAAGUUCAUUCCUGUUUAUUAUAUUCAUUAAAACUGAAGGAAGAACUGUGGCAGCACCAGCUUAAUGGUCAUCUGAACAUAAUUAUUGAGAAAGCAUUGUUCUUUGGAAAGAUGCAAAGUGUCAGACGGAACUUCACACCCUUGUCAUAAAACCCCCACUUAUUUCCUACCAUUAAUUGGAUAAAAUGGGCAUUGUAGGAUUGGAGGUGGAGGGAAAUGGGUUAAUGAGCAUGUGUAGGAGGCAAAUGACACUGGAAAUUCAGUGUCUACAGAGAGUGGGCAGAGGAAACAAAAUCAGAUGUGAGCAAAUUUCUGGAAGGGAAUCGGGUCGACAAAACUCAUGAGACAGCACUUUGUGUUCCUAUCAUCCUCGAACAGUAUGAAAAGCAAAACUCUGGCCAGUUUGCACAUGUGUUUCAAACAACAAGUCAAGAGAGAAACAAAACUGAAUCGUGAAUCAAGGGACUGCAUCAACAGCCGCAAAGCAAACUCCUUUUGAAAUCCAGCCACAUCCUUGCAUCCUACAGCAUGCACUGUGCAGGGGUUCCCAUGGUGCCUUUUGGUACCAUGAAAUUCCCUCCAUCUCUCUAAAAGCUGGGGCCAUUCCUCUCCAUAAGCACCAGUGAGCCCCCUCAGUGUUCACCGUCAGUCUGUCUUUAGUUUCCUUUCUCCUUUCCAAAUCAACAUUCACUGUCUUUUAUUGGUUGUCUGAUGUUGAAGGUGGACGGAGUUCUCAUUGCUCCCCAAAAGCAGGCUUGAUGCCAAGAGCAGAACGUGAGCUGGAUUCCAUCCCCUCCCCGUGCAGGCAGUGGGUGGAUUUGCUCUUCAGGCUCUGUUAGGUCAGUGUGCAAGCUCCUGUGGCUGUGCCUGAAAUCUGGGCAUCCCUCCACAAGCAGGCAUGGAUGGUAAACAAUUUUUGAGUCUACAGGCCACCUCUUAGCUCUUCCAUCAGUCAGUGCUCUUCAGUGGACAGAUCUAUGGGGCAGCAGCGUGGGAAUGCAUGUCCAGACCAAGUGCAGCAGCAUCAGUCUGUACAGACCACCACAUCCCAUGGUUCAGGCUCUGUAUGUGAUCCACGAAGUCCAUCCAUGGCCUUGCCUGCCCAACCACAGAUCUGCAGCACAUUACAUGCCAGAGUGUUGCAUGGGGCUACAAGCUCAACCACAAAUUCCGCUCCCUUCUCAGCCAGGACCCCUACUGAUUCCUGUGAAUGUUUUAUGCUUCAGAGAAGGAACUGUUGAGCUGUUCCUGGACUGUAAAACUUAUUUUCCUUAGCUGCUAAAAAAAAAUGGCCUUCAGACUUCAGCUGGCCAAUACCAACUCCCAUUCCAUAGCUAUUCCCAAUGUUCACUGCUAUAUAACAGCAAAAGCAAAUUACUGGCCCCUUUGGAAAAACACAUUCUACCUUUCAGCAGAAAGAACAGAUGUACUCCCUUUUUCUGAGACUGAUCUUCCUUUGUUCCUUUGUGCUCUGUUUUUUCCAGUGAGUACCUGGGACUUUUUGGUACAAGGAUAAUUAGUCUUACCUUUCACUCUUAUAUUAGCUCGUAAUUUUUGUUUUGUUUUUUGUUUUCUGUUUUUUGUUUAAAUUUAUUCCUGCUAGUCUUCAUGCACAUGGAGUUGGUGCAUCUAAGAUAAGGACAUCCAAAACCAACUUGGACCUGGUCUUCCAGUGCAAUGAUGUUUAUAUGACUGUGUGCUCACCUGCCUGACCAAUUGCCUUCUCAUCCCUUCCAGGAUGUUCCAGAACUCUUUCCAGGAGUUCUAGAACACUGGGAUAAUUUCCCUUUAGUGAGAGGCCGGAGUCUCAGAGGUCACAGCUGAGGUUCUAGGAGGGCUUCCAAGCCCUCGUGAAUGACCAUCAUGGUCCCUCCUGACAACGCACGGAGAUAAAGCCUAGGCACACAUCAGUCUCCACGCUACUGCUCAUCCCCUGGUUUCACUGCAAGGGCCAUAGCCUGUUCCCAGAGAGGUCCCCCAUGAGAUGGCUGGAGAGCCAGGACUGCAGGUUGCCUCCUCAGGUGCUUUAGAAAAUCUGAUCAUAUAUAUCUUUUGCAUCUCCAGUUGCUUUGGUUUUGUCUCGUCUGUCAGUUCAGAUAAAAUUCUGCUUGCUCCAGCAAUCUGAGGGAGAGAAUGCAUUCCUCCACUCAGCUGGAUUUACAGGGAGCCUUGCCAUCAUCACUACACUUGGCCUUCUCACUAGAUCUCAGGAAGUCGCUGUAUGUUAUACAAGUAAUUAACUGUGCUACAAAUGCUGGGUGAUUCCUAAUUCCUUGCUGCCUUUGCUUACUGGGUUGGGUGUUGACAGUACUUGGAGCAAGAGACCCACACUUUGAGUGUAAAACUAAACCAAAAGCUCUGGUUAAGGUUCAGAUUUUAGGAAAUUACAGACUGCAGUCCAAAACUCAGCUUUGAGCUGCUCUGUAGUCUGUGUGUUUCACAGCACUGAGGAAUAAGAGUUCAUUCACCAUAAUUCUUUCAUACAUGACAAAGUGGGAAAUUCACCCUUCAGUCCUUCUGAAAGUGCACUCUGUGCUCCACAUGCCAAUUAGUGCUUCUGAAGGCUGCUAUAAUGCUGGAAAAUUGCCAGCCAGACUCAGAGAAAGGCAUCGCCUAUACAGCAAUCUCAAAGUGACCAAAGCUUGUUGAAGUAGUUACAUACCUGUCUUCCCAGUCAAAAGCCCUUCUCAGAUUGUGUAUUAUGAUUUCCAUCAAAAUUAAUGCAAAUUUUUCAGUGGCAUCCAAAAAGCUCUCAGUGACAUUGUGAAAAGCAGAAAUUUAUAGUGUUUAUUUUACACCAUUUAAACCAUCUCACUCACAAGCUGAAUUGUGUGCAGACCCGAGUGGGAACUUACCACCAAAAGAAGAAGUGAGUUCAAAAAGCAAACAGACAGGUUCACAGAGGACUGACUUGGUGGUGCCCACAGGUGGUCUCACUACCUUGGUGACUACUGCAAACUGGCAAUGUUCUCAAGGGAAUGAUCAUCUCAUUUCCUGCACUCUGGUCUAAAGAUUCACUCCUGGUCUUUAUGAGAUAUUGGGACCCAGUUAGACGGACUUUGCUUGCUACCUCCUGGGGUAGCAAGCUUCCAUGUGUGCAGGAUCUUGUUGUAGUCAGAUGAGUUCAUGACUUCUUACAAGAAAAAAAACUCAAAGAAAAAUCUGAAAUUAGGGCUCACUUUCAGCACAUGUAGUGAGGGUAACAUUCUUCAAACUAUCAUCUGAAUUUCCUCAAUAUAUUUCCUCAAAAUAAGAAUAUUUUAAUUUUUUUUCCAUUUUUUUCUAUAAACCAUAGCCAAGAGGCCUCUGGGUAUUUAAAAAAAGGAUUUUAAAUUUUAAUAAUGUAUUAAUAAACUGAAUAAAGGACAUACAAAAUUAUUCAGUAACUCACACAUUCCUUCUAUUGACUUAAGCUGAAAAGGACUACAUUCUAAAAAAUAUUUUUAAGAAAAACGUUAUUUCGUUCUGUUUUUUAAAGGGAAUGUGUGGGUUAUUGGGGAUUUUUGUACCUUUAUCAGUCACUUUAUUCAGAUAGUGUUGCUUUUUUAAUCCAAUUUAAAUACAGUGUGUUUUUCUUUAAGAAUAAACAUAUUUAUGUUACAUUUAAAAUCUUGAAAUCUUUUAUGUGAGACCGAAGCAAUCUAUUUCUAUAAUUUAAAUUAAACACAAAUAGCAUUCAGGCAGUGCAUGCUGUUACUGAAGUUUUAAGAAAGUAAAACAACAGGCUUCGGGGAAGUCGCUUGCUGAGCACCUGGAACAAGAAUUUGCUGAAGUGAUAAACCAGCACUUGACAGCUGCAACUUGUUCUGCAGGUGCAGAAAGCACUUCUUCCUCUCAGUUCCUUCAGCGUAGUUCAGUUCAGUAAUUACUUCACUCAGUGCUAAGACACCACUUGAGAAAUAAAAAAACCCAGAAAACCAAUUUUCCCUCUCUAGUUUAGGAGUAAAAACUAUGUACAAGAUAUUUUCACCCACAAGUUCAAAACUGAAGGACAAGAUGUCCUUAAAUAAUCUGUCCAAUCCCAUCCCUAAAUAAAUGAUUUCUAUCAUUUAAUACACUAAAUCAGUUUUUUUUUUUUAAUAGAUUAGUUUUGACAUACUUAUUCUUGAAUUACCUAUCAUAUUCCCUUAAUAACAUGAAACCUAUUAUGGUGUUUUAAAUGUUUUUUUGUAUUCUGACUCUGUGCAUGUGACAUUUGAUAAAAAUUACCAAAAAAUGUCAAUAAUAAAAAUGGACUUAUUUCA